rnacentral:rRNA from 1 species
AACGAACGCUGGCGGCAUGCCUAACACAUGCAAGUCGAACGAGACCUUCGGGUCUAGUGGCGCACGGGUUCGUAACGCGUGGGAACCUGCCCUUAGGUUCGGAAUAACUCCCCGAAAGGGGUGCUAAUACCGGAUAAUGUCUUCGGACCAAAGAUUUAUCGCCUUUGGAUGGGCCCGCGUUGGAUUAGCUAGUUGGUAGGGUAAAAGCCUACCAAGGCGACGAUCCAUAGCUGGUCUGAGAGGAUGAUCAGCCACACUGGGACUGAGACACGGCCCAGACUACUACGGGAGGCAGCAGUGGGGAAUAUUGGACAAUGGGCGAAAGCAUGAUCCAGCAAUGCCGCGUGAGUGAUGAAGGCCUUAGGGUUGUAAAGCUCUUUUACCCGGGAUGAUAAUGACAGUACCGGGAGAAUAAGCUCCGGCUAACUCCGUG